rnacentral:lncRNA from 1 species
AAUUCCCUCUCAUAUAAACCCUAAGAUUGUUCUGCAAAGCCAACGGUGCCAUUCAAUUUCAAUCGAUCUCUCCAAUCAGUAGGUAUGUCAUGUCUCGAUGUGUGGAUCCUUGCCCCUGACUUUGAGUUUUUAUACCCUUUUGAUGCGUUUGUUUGACAAGGGGUUUAGGCCUCCUGUCCUUGGUUGCUUUUUGUGAGCUUUUUUGUGAAUUUUAAUGGCAUGAUUCAUGUGGUUAUAUUUUGAUUCUGGUUUG